rnacentral:rRNA from 1 species
AACGAACGCUGGCGGCAGGCUUAACACAUGCAAGUCGAGCGCCCCGCAAGGGGAGCGGCAGACGGGUGAGUAACGCGUGGGAAUCUACCCAUCUCUACGGAAUAACGCAUGGAAACGUGUGCUAAUACCGUAUACGUCCUUCGGGAGAAAGAUUUAUCGGAGAUGGAUGAGCCCGCGUUGGAUUAGCUAGUUGGUGGGGUAAAGGCCUACCAAGGCGACGAUCCAUAGCUGGUCUGAGAGGAUGAUCAGCCACACUGGGACUGAGACACGGCCCAGACUCCUACGGGAGGCAGCAGUGGGGAAUAUUGGACAAGAGGCGCAAGCCUGAUCCAGCCAUGCCGCGUGAGUGAUGAAGGCCCUAGGGUUGUAAAGCUCUUUCACCGGUGAAGAUAAUGACGGUAACCGGAGAAGAAGCCCCGGCUAACUUCGUGCCAGCCGCCGCAGUAAUAC